GGGAACUAAUUACAUUUUACUUGUUAGUUGAUGCGUACUGCCAUGGUGUUAACUUAUACCACAUUCGCAUGAUACCGGUAUGGAAUUCUGUUGCUCCAUUAACUGUUGGGGGUACUCCGAAUUUUCAGAACAGUAAUAGAAUCGAAUUAAAAACGGUCACAUGAGUGUUCUCUACUUUUGAGUAGGGGCAGCCAGAACAGUCGUGUGACCGUCACAACAGUCAUGUAACCAUUUUUGAUUCGAUUCUAUUACUGUUAUAAAAAUCUGGAGUAC